UACGAAGGGGGCGAGCGUUGUUCGGAUUUACUGGGCGUAAAGGGCGCGCAGGCGGCUUAUUUUGUCAGGCGUGAAAGCCCCGGGCUUAACCUGGGAACUGCGUUUGAUACGGAUGGGCUAGAGUUCGGGAGAGGAGAGUGGAAUUCCCAGUGUAGAGGUGAAAUUCGUAAAUAUACGAAGGAACGCCAAAAGCGAAGGCAGCUCUCUGGGUCCCUACCGACGCUGGGGUGCGAAAGCAUGGGGAGCGAACAGG
rnacentral:rRNA from 1 species